UCAAACUUCAUUUGGUGCAUUUUCAUGAGAGAAAGAAGGCUGAAUUCGUAUGACAGAUACUUAGCUUCAAAACUAGCUCAAUUUCAAGUGGGUUACCAAAUAAUAAAUUAUUCGCCACAUAAGGUUUGAAUGUCUGACCUUAAAUCGUAGUAGAUACUGUAAAAUUGACCAUGCAUGUGUGUAUUAUCAACAAAACAGAGAAAGCAAAGAAACACCAAAAUUAG
rnacentral:misc_RNA from 1 species